AUUGAACGCUGGCGGCAGGCUUAACACAUGCAAGUCGAGCGGGGGAAGGUAGCUUGCUACCGGACCUAGCGGCGGACGGGUGAGUAAUGCUUAGGAAUCUGCCUAUUAGUGGGGGACAACAUCUCGAAAGGGAUGCUAAUACCGCAUACGUCCUACGGGAGAAAGCAGGGGAUCUUCGGACCUUGCGCUAAUAGAUGAGCCUAAAUCGGAUUAGCUAGGUUGUGGGGUAAAGGUCUACCAAGGCGACGAUCUGUAGCGGGUCUGAGAGGAUGAUCCGCCACACUGGGACUGAGACACGGCCCAGACUCCUACGGGAGGCAGCAGUGGGGAAUAUUGGACAAUGGGGGGAACCCUGAUCCAGCCAUGCCGCGUGUGUGAAGAAGGCCUUAUGGUUGUAAAGCACUUUAAGCGAGGAGGAGGCUACUUUAGUUAAUACCUAGAGAUAGUGGACGUUACUCCCAGAAUAAGCACCGGCUAACUCUGUGCCAGCAGCCGCCGUAA
rnacentral:rRNA from 1 species